rnacentral:lncRNA from 1 species
AUGAUAGCCGGGCACCGACUGUGCUGGCUGAGCUUCUGCUUGGAGGGGACUGGAGAGAAGGAGGGACUGUUGCUGCAGAGCUCCAGUGCUCUUUGUGCUGGGAAUCUCAGCUGUGGUAGUGCUGGGCCGGAACACAACUACCUGGAGGACGAGCAGCUGACAACAGUGGCUGGAUACCAACUGCUUCCUGGGGGAGAAAGGAAACAAGUUACAGUGGUUCUUCUCCUGCUGGUACUCUCAGCUCCUGCUGCGCACCUUCAGCAAGCACUGCUGUCAUCAGAAAUGCUGGGGCCAACGAGAAAGGCUGUGCAAGGAAACAGAAGCAUGCAAAAGGUAUGCUCCCUGUGCUCACCUUAAGCCAUAACACAAAGCCAAAGUCUUGUGCAGCGUAACGUGUUUGAAAAAACAGUGAUAUUGUGGCAUUUCACUCGUAAAUCUGUAAUAAUCCUUAAUAACAGAGUGACACAGCAGUGCCUGGCACUGUCUGGUGGAGCAGAUGCAUGGAACAGCCUCACCUUCAGAUUGCUGUUUAAGGAGGGUCUUUACUGAAUGAAAGGGGAAGGGGAGGGGGCUUCUCUUACAAAAACGGUACCACUCACUGAAGGAGAGGGUGGUUCUACCUUCUGUAUAUAAAUGUAACUCUUGGUGUCGGGAGGAUAUGAUAUCUUAGAUGGAAUUUUUUGUACCCUGUCCUGAAUGAAUGCUCUGAAUUCAGUUAUGUGCUCUGAAUUCAGUUAUGAAAUGACCUUAAAUCAACAUCACUGGCCUCUCUUUGAUCUGGGAAUGAGCUUGCCAAUGACAUUUGAGUUUGUGCUUUAAUCUUUAGGAUGUGCACACCAAAAUACAAUCUGUCUUUUUAGAAAAUCCUCAUUCAUAGCACGUAGGUGUGGCCCAAGCACUAGAGUCCCAUUUCUGUCUGCUUACAGGAUGUGUGUAAAGAGGGAGUGAUGGAGUUAAAAGUUAAGCUUGCAGCUGGCAGAGAUCCUACCUUUCUGGGUGUGGAUUUGGGGGUGUCACAAAAACACAGAUGCCUUCUUGCAAAAUCAUCUCUGCUGAUUGAAGCAGAGAGGCAGGAGGCAGGCGGAUUGAUUGUCAAAUAUGUUUUUUGCCCUGCAAAUGAAGAAAAUCCAUUCAUUUUUAACUAGCUGAAGAUCUGAUCCAUAUUUUUUGCUUUUAUCUGGCCUGAAGGACAUUACUAGUGCCAUAUUAGAAAGUAGUCAUUUAGGUUAUUAAAACAGGAAAACAAACACCCUCAUUUUUGAGACCAUAUUCUUUGUUGCCGCAGUAGAUUAUUCUCAUUGAUUAAAAGAUAAUGAGUCAUUUAAAUAAUGUUAAUGUGCUUGCCCUAAAAGCUGGC